CUUCCAUCCCAUCUUAUAAGAUUUAAACUCAAAUCAUAACUCUCUAUCCCAUUUACCUUCGUAUGUGUCUGGCAUGGUUUAACACCCCUCUAUGUCCCAGGGGAUAUAAUAUUGUGAUGGACAAUGUUCCAGUUCAGAUCAUGGAUGGUUCAUUCCAGGACAUGUUGGAGGAAUUCCCUGCUAUUCAAUGUUUGCUUAACCAACUUUCACUGAUCGUCGACGAAAUUGAGAAAUGCUUCCUGAUUUCUUCUCUACAUAACUUUCUAGAAUGGAAGCAUUCUGAACCUUUUAUGUCAUUAAAGAGACGACUCUCACUGUCAUCCCACUUGAGUGGUGUUACCACAGUCCAAGGAGAGUGGGAAUUGGAAAUGCAGCUCUGCAAGACGUAUAAUGGAACAUGCUACCUUUUUUUUUUUAGUACUUAGU